ACGAGGAAAGGCUUACGGUGGAUAGGCACCCAGAGACGAGGAAGGGUGUAAUCAACGACGAAAUGCUUCAGGGAGUUGAAAAUAAGCAUAGAUCAGGACUGGAUAGGUCAACCUUUCGAACUGCUGCUGAAUCCAUGGGCAGGCAAGAGACAACCUGGUGAACUGAAACAUCUUAGUAGCUAGAGGAAAAGAAAGUGAAAGCAAUUCUAGUAGUAACGGCGAGCGAAAUGAGAGCAGCCUAAACCGUGAAAAUGGGCUGUGGGAGAGCAAUACAAGGGUCGUGUUGCUAAGCGAAGCGGUGGAGUGCUGCACCCUAGAUGGAGAGAGUCUAGCAGCCAAAAAUAUCACUAGGUUACACUCUGACCUGAGUAGCAUGGGACACGUGGAAUCCCGUGUGAAUCAGCAAAGAUCACCUUGGAAGGCUAAAUACUCCUGGGUGACCGAUAGUGAAGUAGUACCAUGAGGGAAAGGUGAAAAAAACCCCCAUCAGGGAGUGAAAUAGAUCAUGAAAUCGUAAGCUCCCAAGCAGUAGGAGGAGACCAAGGCUUUAACUAUGCACCUAUUGAAGAAUGAGUCGGUGACUUAUAGGCAGUGGCUUGGUUAAAGGAACCCACCAGAGCCGUAGCAAAAGCGAGUCUUCAUAGGUAAAUUGUCAUUACUUAUGAACUCGAACCUAGGUGAUCUAUCCAUGACUAGGAUGAAACUGAGGUGAAACUAAGUGGAGGUCUGAACCUACUAAUGUUGAAGAAUUAACGGAUGAGUGGUUGUUAGGGGUGAAAUGCCACUCGAACCUAGAGCUAGCUGGUUCUCCCCAAAAUAAGUUGAGGCACAGCAGUUGAUUGGACAUCUAGGGGUAAAGCACUGUUUCGGUGCGAGCCGCGAGAGCGGUGCCAAAUCGAGGCAAACUCUGAAUACUAGAUAUGGCCUCAAAAUAACAGGGGUCAAGGUUGGCCACUGAGAUGAUGGGGGAUAAGCUUCAUUGUCGAGAAGGAAACAACCCGCAUCACCAGCUAAGGCCCCUAAAUGACUGCUCAGUGAUAAAGGAGGUAGGGGUGUAGAGAUAGCCAGGAGAUUUGUCUAGAAGCAGCCACCCUUGAAAGAGUGUGUAAUAGCUCACUGAUCGAGCAAUCUUGCACUGAAGAUGAACGGAGAUAAGCAAUCUACCGAAGCUAUGAGAUGUAAACAUGCAUCGAUUGGGGAUUGUUCCGCUUAGAAGGAAUCACUUGCAUGAGCAAUGGUAGAUGAAGCAGAAACUAAAAUGUCAACUUGAGUAACACAAACAUUACUGAGAAUCCAAUGCCCCAAAAAUAUAAAGGUUCCUCUGCAAGGUUCAUCUACGGAGGGUGAGUCAGGGCCUAAGAUCAUGCCGAAAGGCGUAGUCGAUGGACAACAGGUGAAUAUUCCUAUACUACCCCUCGUUGGUCUCAAAGGAUAGAGGAGGCUAGGUUAGCCAAAAGAUGGUUAUCGGUUCAAGGAUGCAAGGUACCACUACUUUUUUAGGGUAAGAAAGGGUAGAGAAAAUGCCCUGAGCCAAUGUUCGAGUAACAGGCACGACGGCGCUGAAGUAACCCAUGCCAUACUCCAAGGAAAAGCUUAAAUGACCUUCAACAAAAGGGCACCUAUACCCAAAAUCGACACAAUUGGGUAGGUAGAGUAUACCUAGCGAUGCAAGACAACUCUCUCUAAGGAACUCAGUAAAAUAGCCACGUAACUUCGGGAGAAGGGGUGCCUCCUCACAAAGGGGGUCGCAGUGACCAGGCCCGGGUGACUAUUUACCAAAAACACAGGUCUUUGCAAAGUCAUAAGACCAUGAAUUGGGGCUGAUGCCUACCAGUGCUAGAAGGUCAAGGAAGUUAGUGACCUGCAGAUAGGGGAGUUAGCGACCAAAGCCUCAAUGAAUGGCGGGCAUAACUAUAACGGUCCUAAGGUAGUGAAAUUUCCUUGUCGCGUAAUGAUCUGGGCACUGUCUCGGAGAGAGGCUCGAUGAAAUAGACAUGUCUGUGAAGAUGUGGACUACCUGCACCUGCACAGAAAGAACCUAUGAAGCUUCACUAUUCCCUGGGAUUGGCUUUGGGCCUUUCCUGUGCAGCUUAGGUGGAGGGCAAAGAUGGCCUCCUUCUGGGAGGGCCCGAGCCAUCAGUGAGAUACCAUUCUGGAAAAGCUAGACCUAACCUUGUGUCAGGACCUAUAGGCCAACGGAUAGUCUCAAGUAGAUAGUUUCUAUGGGGCACAAGCCUCCCAAAAGUUAAAGGAGGCAUGCAAAGGUUUCCUCGGGCCAGAUGGAGAUUGGCCCUCGAGCAUAAAGGUAGAAAGGAGCUUGACUGCAAGGCCCACCCAUUGAGCAGGGACGAAAUUUGGCCUAGUGAUUCGAUGGUGCUAAAUGGAAGGGCCGUUGCUCAACAGAUAAAAGUUACUUUAGGGAUAACAAGCUGAUCUGCCCCAAUAGCUCACAUCAAUGAGAAAGUUUGGCACCUUUAUGGCGACACUUCGCCACCUAGGACUGUAGUAUAUUCCAAAGGUUGGGCUAUUCGCCCACUAAAAUGGUAUGUGAGCUGGGUUCAAAAUGUUGUGAGACAGUUCAAUCCAUAUCCGAUGUGGGUGUUAGAGCAUUGAGAGGACCUUUCCUUCGUACAAGAGGAGCGGGAAGGAUGCAACUCUGGUGUACCAGUUAUCGUGCCCACAGUAAACACUGGGUAGCCAAGUGCGGAGCGAAUAAGUGUUGAAAAGAAAGCAUCUAAGUAGUAAGCCCACCCCAAGAUGAGUGCUCUCCUAUUCUAACAUCCCCAAAGCUUCCGAUAGCACAGCCAAAACAACGAUGGGUUUUCUGCCCUGCGGGGGUGGAGCGACAAAAGUUUUGAGAAUUCAAGAGAAGGUCAUGGCGAGACGAGCCUUUUAGCAUUACGAUAUGUGUCAAGCGGAAGUGCAGUGA
rnacentral:rRNA from 1 species